AGCGAACGCUGGCGGCAGGCUUAACACAUGCAAGUCGAACGCCCCGCAAGGGGAGUGGCAGACGGGUGAGUAACACGUGGGAACGUACCCUUUGGUUCGGAAUAACUUGGGGAAACUCAAGCUAAUACCGGAUAAGCCCUUACGGGGAAAGGUUUACUGCCGAAGGAUCGGCCCGCGUCUGAUUAGCUAGUUGGUGAGGUAAUGGCUCACCAAGGCGACGAUCAGUAGCUGGUCUGAGAGGAUGAUCAGCCACACUGGGACUGAGACACGGCCCAGACUCCUACGGGAGGCAGCAGUGGGGAAUAUUGGACAAUGGGGGCAACCCUGAUCCAGCCAUGCCGCGUGAGUGAUGAAGGCCUUAGGGUUGUAAAGCUCUUUUACCCGGGACGAUAAUGACUGUACCGGGAGAAUAAGCCCCGGCUAGCUUCGUGCCAGCCGCCGCGGUAA
rnacentral:rRNA from 1 species